UACGAAGGGGGCUAGCGUUGUUCGGAAUUACUGGGCGUAAAGCGCGCGCAGGCGGUCUUCCAAGUCAGUGGUGAAAGCCCGGAGCUCAACUCCGGAACUGCCAUUGAAACUGUAAGACUUGAGGAUGAGAGAGGUGAGUGGAAUUCCCAGUGUAGAGGUGAAAUUCGUAGAUAUUGGGAAGAACACCGGUGGCGAAGGCGGCUCACUGGCUCAUAUCUGACGCUCAGGCGCGACAGCGUGGGGAGUCAAACAGGA
rnacentral:rRNA from 1 species